UAACAUCUUCACAAACAUUCAGAUCUUCAAAAACCCAUCUUCCUCCUCUCUUUCUCUCCCUCUUUAAAACCUAGCACCACCACCACCUCCACCUCCCCUCCUUCCUCACACCCAUCCCCUCCUCUGGUCUGACCUCUGGCAACCAGAGAUGGAUCCCGACGCCCCUCCCUUUGGUCCCCUUAUUCUUCUGCUAGCACCCACACCCCUCUCCACCCGCUCGGUGGUGGCCGACGGCGGCUAUAGCUGCCGAAAAUGAUGAGCAAAAAUGAAGGUACCAGAUGAGUUUGAAGGUGGUUCUCCAAGCACCGUAGCAGCAGCAGCUCUGCUGUUGUCUUCUUUUUUCUUCUCCUCUCUAGGGUUUCAGUGUGUGGAUAUGAGUGGAUAUUGAAGUUAUCUUUUUUCUGGACAGAUUCGUUUUUUUUUUCGACGGGUUUGAGUGGGGGUGCUGGUGUUUUGGGCAGUGUAGUGGUGGUGGUGGUUGUAUUAUGGUUUUUCUAUGUUAUACAGACGAUAUCCAGUUUAUAAAACAAACAGUAUUAUAUUUUCAGCUUGUAGACCUUUAGACCACAUCUUCAGUUGCAAACAUAAAAUCAGCUGAAAUUAGAUUGCAAACAGUUUUUGUCUGAAAAAACAAACAGCACCUAAGAUGUUCUUAAACUUUGUUGAUUCAUAUUGUAUGUCAUAAGCUUGCCUCAUGACUUUUGUCAAGCUACCAAAUCAA